GAUGAACGCUGGCGGCGUGCCUAAUACAUGCAAGUCGAGCGAACAGACGAGGAGCUUGCUCCUCGGACGUUAGCGGCGGACGGGUGAGUAACACGUGGAUAACCUACCUAUAAGACUGGGAUAACUUCGGGAAACCGGAGCUAAUAGCGGAGAAUAUAUUGAACCGCAUGGGUCAAUAGAGAAAGACGGUUGUGGGGGCAGUUAUAGAGGGAUCCGCGCCGUAUUAGCUAGUCGGUAAGGUAAAGGCUUACCAAGGCUACGAUGCGUAUCCGACCUGAGAGGGUGGUCGGCCGCACUGGAACUUAGCCACCGUCCUUGCUACUGCGGUACGCCGCAGUCUGGUAUCUUCCGCAAUGGUCGAAAGCCUUACGCAGCGACGCCGCGCCAGUUGUGACGGUCUUCGGUUCGUAAAACCCUGUUAUUAGUGAUGAACCACUGUCUCAGUAACUAUGCACGUCUUGACGGUACCUAAUCAGAAAGCCCCGGCUAACUACGUG
rnacentral:rRNA from 1 species